CACAAAAGCCGUGCCAUCCCCAUAGUCAGCUUUCUGUUCAAAUGGCUGGCUAAUUUGCCGACUUGAUAUCAAUCAAGAAAGGCAAAAUACCAAAACGAUCAAGGUCGGAUUGAAAUUAUACCAACAUGGCCACGAUCAGUUGAGAGAUAUUCGGCUUGCCACCAUUUAUCAGAUAAUACGACAUAUGAACCCGAUCAAAGUUCGAAUAACAGAUAUACAACUUACUAUCGUUAUCCUAACUAAAUACAUUGGAAACUAUACGACUAGCAGACCUUACAAUCUGCAGAA
rnacentral:lncRNA from 1 species